rnacentral:tRNA from 1 species
AGCUAGGUGGCUCAAUGGAUAGAGCACCAGACCUGGGAUUGGGAAGAACUGGGUUCAAAUCCAGUCUCAGAUA